CAGAAAAUAAUAUGUGUGCGUAUUACUGGUAUACAAAAAGGAAGUGAACUACUUUUUAGUCUAAUCCAGGAUAUGUUAGAUUAUGAUUAAAUAAGAUUAAAUAAGUUAGGUUAGGUUAUGAUGCAAUAAGAAGAAAAUCAGGACUGCGAGGAAUUAUUAUUAUUAGGAUACCGAGGAUAGUAUCUUUCAAAAUGAAUCGCAUGCAACAAUUGUUGAAGGAGUGAAGAUAUACAUUCUGUAGGAUGAUACGAGGCCACACACGGAAUUAUUCUAGAUCUUCUUGUUGCUUUUUCUUCAUGAUUGUAUUUAUUAUACACAUACAUGUAUCUUUGAAUGGAAGUAUACUGAUAAUGAUAUAGAGAUCUUUGAAAACAGCCUGGUGGAAGAGUGAGAUCAGAUAAGAAAACAAGAAGGGAUAAGAUAGCAAGUUUAGAGGAAAUUAACAUAAGCUCAAAUUCCAACAAAGAAGUAUAUAUAUAAGUACACGAAGAAAGCAAUGUCAUCUCUCUCAACGCUACCACUGAUCAACACAUUAAUUCUUUGUAAUAUAGGUUUGAUGUACCUCGCCGUUAGAAAGUAAGAGACCUGUACAACAUGCUCGCACACGAUACUUUCUUUUAGUUGGGAUACUUACACGCGCUGUACACGUUACGUCGAUUCAUUA